rfam:Tetraodon nigroviridis, WGS project CAAE01000000 data, contig: CNS0C6HN, chromosome: undetermined
GGUAGCUCAGUGGUAGAGCACACGGCUGGAGAUCAGGACUCUGGUUGGAGUCGUGGGUUCGAAUCCCACUC